rnacentral:rRNA from 1 species
UACAGAGGUCUCAAGCGUUGUUCGGAUUCAUUGGGCGUAAAGGGUGCGUAGGCGGCGCGGUAAGUCGGGUGUGAAAUCUUGGAGCUUAACUCCGAAACUGCAUGCGAUACUGCCGUGCUUGAGGACUGGAGAGGAGACUGGAAUUUACGGUGUAGCGGUGAAAUGCGUAGAUAUCGUAAGGAAGACCAGUGGCGAAGGCGGGUCUCUGGACAGUUCCUGACGCUGAGGCACGAAGGCCAGGGGAGCAAACGGG